GACGAACGCUGGCGGCGUGCUUAACACAUGCAAGUCGAGCGGUAAGGCCUCUUCGGGGGUACACGAGCGGCGAACGGGUGAGUAACACGUGAGUAAUCUGCCCUUCACUCUGGGAUAAGCACUCGAAAGGGUGUCUAAUACCGAAUACGACCACUCCCGGCAUCGGGUGGUGGUGGAAAGUUCCGGCGGUGAUGGAUGAGCUCGCGGCCUAUCAGCUUGUUGGUGGGGUAAUGGCCCACCAAGGCAACGACGGGUAGCCGGCCUGAGAGGGUGACCGGCCACACUGGGACUGAGACACGGCCCAGACUCCUACGGGAGGCAGCAGUGGGGAAUAUUGGACAAUGGGCGAAAGCCUGAUCCAGCAACGCCGCGUGAGGGAUGACGGCCUUCGGGUUGUAAACCUCUUUCAGCAGGGACGAAGCGCAAGUGACGGUACCUGCAGAAGAAGCACCGGCCAACUACGUGCCAGCCGCCGCAGUAAGAC
rnacentral:rRNA from 1 species